UCAAGAUGUGCCCUAUUUGCACUCCGGCGCACGUUCCACAGUCUACGAAUAUAGAGCCAUGUCAUUUUCUGCGUGCUGGUGGUGUAAUUAUAUGCAACUGUGUACAAUAAGCAGCCGCUGUGCUCCAAAACCGGUAACUUCCCGCCCUUACAACAGCAGGGUGCAAUUGUCCCUCCGAGCCGAUGCGAAACAGACCUUGCUGAGACGUUAAAUACAGCUGGGAAAUACACGCUUUUCGACCGAUGCUUUGUUACAAGAUUCAUAGAGAGACAGUGUGGCUUUCCCUGGCUAGACCGCUGCCUUGCAAGUAAUUCCUUCAUUUACAGAACAAAGGCGACCAUUCACAGGAAGCGGAGCGGCUGGAGAUGUGGUGCGGCCGACACAACCUGGAGCUGAACACGCUCAAGACUGUAGAGAUGAUCGUGGACUUCAGGAGGCAUCCUUCGCCACAGCUGCCCCUCACGUUGUCCAGCUGCCUUGUGUCAACCGUCGAGACCUUCAACUUCCUGGGAAUUACAGUCUCUCAGGACCUGAAGUGGGCGACCAACAUCAACUCCGUCCUCAAAAAGGCCCAGCAGAGGAUGUACUUCCUGCGGCUUCUGAGAAAGCACGGCCUGCCACCGGAGCUGCUGAGACAGUUCUACACAGCGGUCAUCGAAUCAGUCCUGUGUUCUUCCAUCACAGUCUGGUUUGGUGCUGCUACAAAAAAGGACAAACUCCGACUGCAACGGACAAUCAAAACUGCUGAAAGGAUUGUCGGUACCCCCUACCCACCAUUGAGGACUUGCACGCUGCCAGAACUAAGACAAGGGCGUGCAAAAUCCUCUUGGACCCUCCGCACCCGGUCACCAGCUCUUCCAGCUCCUUCCCUCAGGUAGGCGCUACCGAUCAAUGCAAACUAGAACUAGUAGACAUUCCAACAGCUUCUUCCCUUUUGCGAUCAACUUCUUAAACACCUGACCUACAAUUCCAUUACAACAUGCUGGCAAUUUUUUGACUUGAGUUCGUUGUCACAUUUCUGUGGGGCCAAUUAUGUAUUACUCGUACACUCACUGUAGUUGUCUCGCCAUGCUGCACUAUUUGCAUAUACUGGCCACUCAUGCCAGAGUAGCAUCUGCUCCAUUUGCACACUGAUUGAGGAGUAUCUGUAUUAUUUGUACAACCAACAUUGUCCCAGAUUAUCGCACUACUCGUCACUUUAAACCGCAUACACUCCUUGAAUUCCCAGCGCCCUUUGCACAAUGGUCAUUGCACCGGACUAUUGCAAUAUUAGUCAUUCAAACUGCUCUAAGUGCUAGAGGACUCUGCAUCUUUUUGCACAAUUGUCAAAAAAAAAAAAUAAAUAAAAAAUAAUGUACCGGCAUUACCAGAUAACUAGCAACCCUUUACUGCUCAGUGACAGUUUUUUUUUU